GCUACAAGAAGAAAAGCUUAAAAUUUAGUAGCCUGGGAUUGGAAACAUCUCUGAAGAUCCAGUAACAAGUCAAGUGAAAAAUGGAUUGAUUUUCAUCAGGUCUCAAAUGUAUAUAACCUGGUCUUCUUCCAGCUCAAGAAUGAUGAUCACUCAUAAACCUUCACAGAGAAAUAGGAAGAGGAGCUGUCUUUAACCAGAAGGUUCUACAGAAGCUGGGAAAUUUUAAUGAACAUUUGAACUGUGAUACUCUGGCUGAUGGCUUGGAGUUUGAGCUGGACUGCAUGAUCUUCUUUAUGGUAUAAAGGCCUAGGAAAUAAGGGCAAGUAGGAAUUUUCUCUUCUCAUUUGUGCACAUCUCCAUGUAAUUUUGCAAGAUAUGCCAUAUCUCCAAAGGGGAGGCUGAUAAUUGCAAAAUACUUUGUGGGACAACACAGCUAGAUUGUCUCUAUCUUCUCUGAACUCCAGAAAUGACAUUAGUAUCACAACUGAACCAAGUCCUGUCAACAUCU